GGUGCCAAGCCCACUGCAAGUUCCACAUGUCCAGUCAAGGCCCAGGAGGGACAAGAAGCCCAACUCGCGGUGCGUCGGCCCAAGUUGGACCAAGUAGGAAGAGAGUAUAAGUAGGCAUGAGAAGGAGAGACUCAGACAUGAACAGAAAGAUGUAAAAACCUAAUUCAGUUUUAAUCAUUCAUCGUAGCUUCAUUCCUGUAUUGUAUCUUCCUAUUCCUUUUCCUACCCUAGCGCCGCCGGUGCUAACAUCUGGUAUCGGACGUCUCUUCCAUCCUGGACAAUCCCUCUUCCUCGCCUACUUCCCCUCCUCCGCCGCCACCUCCCCACCCCCACUUCACCCGCCUGAAUCGUGCUCGCGGUGCCAUGGAUCCUUCCCUCAAGCGCAUCCUCGACACGCUCAACUCUCGCUUCGACGAGUUCGACCGCCGCCUGGACGAUCGCGACCGGGUCUUCGCCGACCGCACCGGUACCGUCGACUCCCGGUUUGCCUCCCUGGAGACCACCAUCGCCGCUCAAGCAUCUGGGAUUGAGGUACGCCUGGCCGGGAUCGAAGCCCAGCUGCCGGAUCUUGCGUCUUCGUCCGUCACGACCGCGUCGGAUCCGCGGCUCGACGCCAUCGCGCGUGUCUCGGCCGAUCUAGAGUUGUGGCGACCUAGCAUGGAGGGCGCCCUCGACGACAUCCAGAAGGUCGUCCAGAAGCUGGUGAAGAACAUGGACCGCUCGGUGCUCGACGAAUUGCCUCAAUGCCCCGGCGCGGCUUCCUCUCCACCGGCAUCGUCGGCUUCCGCCUCGGCAGCCGGCCUGUGUGCCACAUCGCCUAGCGGGCACCGCCUCGACAUGACUACACGGGAUGUUGGGUCUGGAGUCGUCAUGACUUGGACCCAUGUCCCGGCCAAUGGUAUGCCCCAUUCCACUCCAUCUCGCGUACAUUCGUCGGAGUUCCGUCCGCCUCCGGUUGCAAUUCCUCUGAGGCCAUCGCUUGAACCUGUGUACCACCCUCCCCCCAAUCCAUUCCACCCACCACCAGCCGCGUCUCAACCCACAUAUCAUCCUCGACUUCCACCUCCACACUAUUCGAGCCCCACCUUCAAUUCCAGCCAUCCCUUCCCUUCAAUUCCCAACCUGAAUACUUACCAGGAUCCCCACCGUUCUCAACCAUUGUCUAGCCGCCUGCCUAAGCUUCCGUUUCCCACGUUUGAUGGCACUAAUCCUAAGCGCUGGAGAUCCUUGUGCGAGAAGUAUUUCGCCACCUAUGCAGUCGAUCCUCUCCUCUGGGUAGGCUUGGUGGAACAUUAUAUGGAAGGUCCUGCCGGGAUUUGGUACCAAUCCAUUGCUCCUCAACUUCCAUGCACCACUUGGGACUCUUUCUGUUCCUUACUGCAUGAGCGUUUUGAUCGUGAUCAGCAUGAGUUCCUCCUCCGCCAACUGUUCAAUAUUCGCCAGCAAACCUCUGUUUCCGCAUAUGCUACAGCUUUUUCUGAAUUGGUUGAUCAGAUUAAGUCUUAUUGUCCCAAUUCUGAUCCAUUGUUUUUUCCUCAAUGUUUCAUUGAUGGCCUUCGUCAGGACAUUAAAGCUAUCGUUCUUGUUCAGCGUCCCCAAAAUUUCGAUGCUGCUGUUCGCUUGGCUUUGUUGCAGGAAGAGGUGGGCACUCUGUCGUGUUCCAUCGACUACGACUCCGCCGCUGCCGCUCCCUCCACCGCCUCCUCGACUGGACAAGACGGCCGCCCCUGCUACUAUUACUGUGGCAGGAACGGGCGGGCCACCUGCUCAUCAAACCUUGGCUGCUGUCAAGGCCUACAGGCGCGCUCUGGGCCUUUGUUACAAAUGCAAUGCCAAGUGGAGUAAGGACCAUGUUUGUGCUCCUGAGGUUCUUCAUGCAGUUGACGCUCUUUGGGAAUCCUUUUCGUCAGAAGAUUCGCUGGCCGACUCAGUGGAGGAACUCUCUGCCACUGAACAGUGUUGCUUGGCUAUUUCCAAAUCUGCUCUCGUGGGAAUGCCAGCGUCUCGUUCCAUUUGUUUCUAGGGAUUUCUUCAGUCAAUUCCAGUGCAAAUUUUGAUUGAUUCUGGCAGCUCAUCAUCUUUUGUCAAUGCAUCCCUGGUGCCUCAGCUAACCAAUAUAACUGCAAUUCCAGUAUCAACAUCAGUGAUGGUGGCAGGUGGCACUCAGCUUUCCAGCUCCUCCAUGCUGCUCCAGGUGCCUUGGUCUGUUGGUAAUUGUGAGUUUCAGUCAGACUUUCGGGCCUUGCCUUUGGGUUCAUUUGAUGUUGUUGUUGGUAUGGACUGGUUAUCUUCCUACAGCCCUAUGCAGAUUCACUGGCAAGCGAAAUGGAUGGCUAUUCCUUAUAAAGGACAGUGGACAGUGCUGCAAGGUCUUCAGCCUGCUUAUCCGGCACAAGUGCUCCUUCACAUUGAUACCAUGGAGUGUCUGUCACCGACCUCUGUGAUGUCCGAGCCGCUACCAGUUCCACUUCAAGCACUGCUCGAGGAGUAUUCUGAUUUGUUUCAGCCUCCCAGGUCAUUACCCCCUUCUAGAGCUUGCGAUCAUGAGAUAUCUCUGAUUCCAGGUGCCACACCUGUGUUUGUGCGGCCUUACCGGUACCCACCAAAGCUCAAGGUUGAGAUUGAAACCCAAGUGCAAGAACUGUUGUCUCAGGGUUUGAUUCGUCAUAGUCAGAGCCCUUUCUCAUCUCCGGUUCUCUUGGUCCGCAAAAAGGAUGGCGGAUAUAGAUUCUGUGUGGACUUUCGCCAUCUCAACGCUUUAACUAUGAAGUCCAAGUUUCUUGUACCAGUAUUUGACCAGCUGAUGGACGAGCUUGCACAUGCUUGUUGGUUUACGACCUUGGAUUUGCGAGCGGGAUUUCACCAGAUCUUGUUACGCGAAGGUGAGCAGUUCAAAACAGCCUUCCAAACCCACCUCGGUCAGUAUGAGUUCAAUGUGAUGGCCUUUGGACUUACAGGAGCACCGGGCACAUUCCAGGGUGCCAUGAACGUGACCCUUGCCCCUGGUUUGCACAAGUUUGUUAUUGUAUUUUUUGAUGACAUCCUCAUCUUCAGCUCUACAUUUGAAUCCUGCGGCGUGAUCAGUGGAAGUUGAAACAGUCCAAAUGCACCUUCGCUCAGCAGUCCAUAUCUUAUUUGGGUCACGUGAUCAGUGCUGCAGGAUUGUCUACUGAUCCUGCAAAAGUCCGCGUCGUGACUGAAUGGCCCGUGCCAGCUAAUCUUCGGGAGCUCCGUGGUUUCUUGGGUCUCGCCGGGUACUACCGGAAAUUUGUUCGGCACUUUGGUAUUAUCGCUAAGCCUCUUACUGAGCUGCUCAAAAAGGAUCAGGUUUUUGUUUGGACCACGGCCCAUAAUGACGCUUUUUCCUUGCUGAAGUCGGCUCUGUCUUCAGCACCAGUGUUGGCUUUGCCCGAUUUCUCCCGUCCUUUUCAUAUUGAGACUAAUGCUUCAGGGUUUGGGAUUGGCGUAGUGUUGCAGCAAGAUAAUCAUCAUAUUGCCUUCAUCAGUAAAUCUCUUAGCAAAUGCAACCAGGGUCUCACUGUGUAUGAGAAAGAGUACCUCGCUAUCCUGCUAGCAGUGGAUACCUGGCGGCAUUAUUUGUUGCAAGCGGAAUUCUUCAUACACACCGAUCACCAAAGCCUCACUCAUCUCAAUGAGCAGCGCCUACAUACGGCUUGGCAACAGAAGGUGUUUGCUCGUCUUAUGGGACUGCAGUAUAAAAUCUUGUACAAGAAAGGUGUUGAGAAUGGAGCAGCUGAUGCAUUAUCCAGGCGUCGCCAUCCAGAACAAUUGCUGGCCAUAUCUUCUGUUAAACACCAGUGGUUGGAAGCUGUCGUGCUCAGCUACCAGAAUCACUCUGAAGCGUUGAAGUUGCUUGCCCAACUGGCCACACAGCCUGGUGCUCAUCCUCAUUAUUCCUUGGUGCAAGGGAUCAUUCGCUACAAAGGUCGUGUGUGGCUCGAAUCUUCCAAGGCUAUUCAACAGCAGGUAUUGUCAGCAUUUCAUGCUAGCCCUGUGGGGGGUCAUUCUGGCGCUCCUGCGACGUAUUCACGUUUGAAGCAGCUAUUCUUUUGGCAUGGUAUGAAAGCGGAUGUUUGGCGUAUGGUGCAGUCCUGCUCUGUAUGCUUACAAGCCAAACCUGAUCACGCUCGUUAUCCCGGGCUGCUGCAACCUCUACCAGUUCCAUCAGCUUCUUGGGAAAUAAUUUCAAUGGACUUUGUCGAAGGUCUUCCUACUUCCGGAUCUGCAAAUGCAAUCUUGGUGGUCGUUGAUAAGUUUUGGAAGUUCGCUCAUUUCAUUGCAUUGAAGCACCCUUUCACUGCACAGACUGUGGCACAACUUUUUCUGGACAAUAUCUAUUGCCUGCAUGGGUUGCCCAAGUCCAUCAUUUCUGACCGCGACAAGAUUUUCACCAGUCAGUUUUGGCAGUCCCUGUUCAAGGCCGCAGGCACGAAUCUUUGUUUAAGCUCUUCAUACCACCCACAGUCCGACGGCCAAACUGAACGGGUAAAUCAAUGCCUUGAGACCUUUCUCCGCUGUUUUGUACAUUCUUGCCCUUCACAGUGGCGCCGCUGGUUAUCUCUGGCUGAGUAUUGGUAUAACACAUCUCUACAUUCCGCAUUGGGCCGAUCCCCCUUUGAGGUGCUGUGUGGCUGCUCUCCUAGGCACAUGGGUCUGGAUGUUGAGUCGACUGCCCCAGUCUCAGAUUUACAGUCCUGGUUGUCUCAGCGCGCUCAUAUGCAGGAGCUCAUUCAUCAACACCUGUUGCGUGCCCAGGACCGCAUGAAGCGUCAAGCUGAUAAAGGACGUUCUGAAAGGGAGUUUGCUGUGGGUGACAACGUCUUUCUCAAGCUGCAGCCUUAUGUUCAGUCAUCUUUGGCUCGCCGUGCAAAUCACAAGUUGUCAUUCCGUUUCUUUGGUCCUUACAAGGUGAUACAGAAGAUCGGCUCUGUGGCUUAUAAGUUGGAACUGCCGUCUUCGUUCUCUAUUCACCCGGUGUUCCAUGUUUCUCAGCUGAAGCUGUCUCCUGGGGUCAGCUUGUGUCCUCUGCCUUACCGUCUGACUUGCAAGUGUUCUAGGUACCUCUUCGCAUUUUGCAGCGGCGCUGGACUGCUGGUGAUCAUCCACUGGAGCAGGGUCUCAUCCAGUGGUCACAUACACCUCCUGAACUGGCGACUUGGGAGCCACUCGUCACUCUUCGUCAGCAGUUUCCACAUGCGCCGGCCUGGGGUCAUGCCGGCUCUGAAGGCCAGGGGGAUGUUAGCAGUGCUACAUUACAUCGACACCUGCAGGAGGAGAACCGGUGCCAAGCCCACUGCAAGUUCCACAUGUCCAGUCAAGGCCCAGGAGGGACAAGAAGCCCAACUCGCGGUGUGUCGGCCCAAGUUGGACCAAGUAGGAAGAGAGUAUAAGUAGGCAUGAGAAGGAGAGACUCAGACAUGAACAGAAAGAUGUAAAAACCUAAUUCAGUUUUAAUCAUUCAUCGUAGCUUCAUUCCUGUAUUGUAUCUUCCUGUUCAUUUUCCUACCCUAGCGCUGCCGGUGCUAACACUAUCAAGCCUGAGAUGACUAAACUAGUGGUAGCCUUCCAAUAAUCAGCUCCACCAAUUGUUACUCUCUAA
rnacentral:lncRNA from 1 species